rnacentral:rRNA from 1 species
UACGUAGGCAGCAAGCGUUGUUCGGAAUGACUGGGCGUAAAGAGUGUGUAGGCGGUGUUCUAAGUUUGGUGUGAAAUCUCCCGGCUCAACUGGGAGGGUGCGCCGAAAACUGGAAUGCUAGAGUAUGGGAGAGGUAAGCGGAAUUCCUGGUGUAGCGGUGAAAUGCGUAGAUAUCAGGAGGAACACCUGUGGUGUAGACAGCUUACUGGACCAUCACUGACGCUGAGACACGAAAGCGUGGGUAGCAAACAGG